GACGAACGCUGGCGGCGUGCUUAACACAUGCAAGUCGAACGAUGAUGCCCAGCUUGCUGGGCGGAUUAGUGGCGAACGGGUGAGUAACACGUGAGUAACCUGCCCUUGACUUCGGGAUAACUCCGGGAAACCGGGGCUAAUACCGGAUAUGAGCCGUCCUCGCAUGGGGGUGGUUGGAAAGUUUUUCGGUCAGGGAUGGGCUCGCGGCCUAUCAGCUUGUUGGUGGGGUGAUGGCCUACCAAGGCGACGACGGGUAGCCGGCCUGAGAGGGCGACCGGCCACACUGGGACUGAGACACGGCCCAGACUCCUACGGGAGGCAGCAGUGGGGAAUAUUGCACAAUGGGCGAAAGCCUGAUGCAGCGACGCCGCGUGAGGGAUGAAGGCCUUCGGGUUGUAAACCUCUUUCAGCAGGGAAGAAGCGCAAGUGACGUACCUGCAGAAGAG
rnacentral:rRNA from 1 species